rnacentral:rRNA from 1 species
GAUGAACGCUAGCGGCAGGCUUAACACAUGCAAGUCGAGGGGUAGAGUUAGCUUGCUAACUUGAGACCGGCGCACGGGUGCGUAACGCGUAUGCAAUCUACCUUGUACAGAGGGAUAGCCCAGAGAAAUUUGGAUUAAUACCUCAUAGUAUUAUUGAAUGGCAUCAUUUGAUUAUUAAAGUUCCAACGGUACAAGAUGAGCAUGCGUCCCAUUAGCUAGAUGGUAAGGUAACGGCUUACCAUGGCAACGAUGGGUAGGGGUCCUGAGAGGGAGAUCCCCCGCACUGGUACUGAGACACGGACCAGACUCCUACGGGAGGCAGCAGUGAGGAAUAUUGGUCAAUGGGCGCAAGCCUGAACCAGCCAUGCCGCGUGCAGGAAGACGGUCCUAUGGAUUGUAAACUGCUUUUAUACGGGAAGAAACCCUGCUACGUGUAGCAGCUUGACGGUACCGUAAGAAUAAGCAUCGGCUAACUCCGUGCCAGCAGCCGCCGUAA